rnacentral:rRNA from 1 species
UACGUAGGGUGCAAGCGUUAAUCGGAAUUACUGGGCGUAAAGCGUGCGCAGGCGGUUAUGUAAGACAGGUGUGAAAUCCCCGGGCUUAACCUGGGAACUGCAUUUGUGACUGCAUAGCUAGAGUACGGUAGAGGGGGAUGGAAUUCCGCGUGUAGCAGUGAAAUGCGUAGAUAUGCGGAGGAACACCGAUGGCGAAGGCGGCCCACUGGAUCGGUACUGACGCUGAGGUGCGAAAGCGUGGGGAGCAAACAGG